AGUCGAACGGUAACAGGAAGAAGCUUGCUUCUUUGCUGACGAGUGGCGGACGGGUGAGUAAUGUCUGGGAAACUGCCUGAUGGAGGGGGAUAACUACUGGAAACGGUAGCUAAUACCGCAUAACGUCGCAAGACCAAAGAGGGGGACCUUCGGGCCUCUUGCCAUCGGAUGUGCCCAGAUGGGAUUAGCUAGUAGGUGGGGUAACGGCUCACCUAGGCGACGAUCCCUAGCUGGUCUGAGAGGAUGACCAGCCACACUGGAACUGAGACACGGUCCAGACUCCUACGGGAGGCAGCAGUGGGGAAUAUUGCACAAUGGGCGCAAGCCUGAUGCAGCCAUGCCGCGUGUAUGAAGAAGGCCUUCGGGUUGUAAAGUACUUUCAGCGGGGAGGAAGGGAGUAAAGUUAAUACCUUUGCUCAUUGACGUUACCCGCAGAAGAAGCACCGGCUAACUCCGUGCCAGCAGCCGCGGUAAUACGGAGGGUGCAAGCGUUAAUCGGAAUUACUGGGCGUAAAGCGCACGCAGGCGGUUUGUUAAGUCAGAUGUGAAAUCCCCGGGCUCAACCUGGGAACUGCAUCUGAUACUGGCAAGCUUGAGUCUC
rnacentral:rRNA from 1 species